GACGAACGCUGGCGGCGUGCCUAAUACAUGCAAGUAGAACGCUGAAGGAGUAGCUUGCUUCUCUGGAUGAGUUGCGAACGGGUGAGUAACGCGUAGGUAACCUGCCUGGUAGCUGGGGAUAACUAUUGGAAACGAUAGCUAAUACCGCAUAAGAGUAGAUGUUGCAUGACAUUUGCUUAAAAGUUGCAAUUGCAUCACUACCAGAUGGACCUGUGUUGUAUUAGGUAGUUGGUGAGGUAACGGCUCACCAAGGCGACGAUACAUAGCCGACCUGAGAGGGUGAACGGCCAAACUGGGAAUGAGACACGGCCCAGACUCCCUAGGGAGGCAGCAGUAGGGAAUCUUCGGCAAUGGACGGAAGUCUGACCGAGCAACGCCGCGUGAGUGAAGGAGGUCUUCGGGUCGUAAAGCUCUGUUGUAAGGGAAGAAAGAGUGGGAGGGUGGAAAGUUCACGCUGUGACGGUAUCUUACCAGAAAGGGACGGCUAACUACGUG
rnacentral:rRNA from 1 species